GACGAACGCUGGCGGCGUGCUUAACACAUGCAAGUCGAACGGAAAGGCCUCUUUCGGGGGGUACUCGAGUGGCGAACGGGUGAGUAACACGUGAGUAACCUGCCCUUGUCUUUGGGAUAACUACCGGCGACUGGGGCUAGUACCGGCUAGGAGCUCCUGCUGCAUGGUGGGGUUUGGAAUGUUUCACCGGCUGGGGAUGGAUUGGCGGCUUAUCCGCUAGUUGGUGGGGUAUUGGCUUACUAAGGCUUUGACGGGUAGCCGACAUGUGAGGGUGACCGGCGACAUUAGGACUGAGAGACGGCCCAGACUCCUACGGGAGGCAGCAGUGGGGAAUAUGGCAGAAUGGGGGGAAGCCUGAUGCAGCGGCGCCGUGAGCGGGAUGACGGGCUUCGGGUGGUAAACCGCUUUCGCUCAUGCCGAAGCUUUGUUGGAGGGUAGUGGGUAAAGAGGCACGGGCUAAUUACGU
rnacentral:rRNA from 1 species